UGGCUCAGUGGUAGAGCGCUUGCCUCACACGCAUGAGGCCCUGGGUUCAAUUCCUCAG
rfam:Dipodomys ordii contig_29970, whole genome shotgun sequence.